rnacentral:tRNA from 1 species
GCCGUCGUGUUGUAGUGGUCAGCACGCUCGACGCGUAACCGAGAGGUCCGUGGUUCGAUUCCCAGCGAGGGCA